rnacentral:lncRNA from 1 species
GGGGCGGGGGGGGAGUGCCUGACAAUAGUUUACUCCGGAAACUCCUGUUUGAAUGCUAGGCUACCUAUAUCUGUAGACCCCAGAGGGCAGCCAUUAAAUAAUUAGGCACUUAGGGAUGGAGAAUUGUCUCAAAGACCAAACAACAAGUUACUUAAGACUCUUCUGGCAGACCAGAGGACCUUGAGGAUUGAGGAGACCUCUCGUCCUAUCUUGAAUUGUUCCAAAGGACGGAAGGAGGACUGGAUCCGGGCUCUGGCUUGCCUCAUUGCCCCCAAACACAUUCCCAGAAACGCUCCCCAGGGCCGAACCAAGAACUCAAGUGUCUAACCCACAGCGUCAGCUCUCAGGUUCAAGUUCAAGUCCUCCGGCGUACAUCGGGGCUUCCUUGUCUGCUGUUAAAUUUUAUGUGGAAAUGAAGCCGAAAAUAAUGUCCUGAGAUGUGGAUGAAGAGUGCUGUAACGAAACAUUGUACCAAAACGAAGACUGUGCUGUACGCGCCCCUCAGACAACUACUCUCCUGCAGGCGAGGAUUGUCACCCGGGGGGAGUGUGGCAGGAGUGCCGUCACAGUGGCAGAAGGAGAAGGAGAGAGAAAACGAAACCUGGGAAAUUGCCCGCGCUCACUUUUUCUCCUCCCCGGACCUGAGUUCAAGAGCCUGUCUCGGAGUCGGGCAGUCUCCGGUUGGGAAGGCCCUCGAUCAUGACUUUUUCGUCCCGACCUGUGCAGAUCCCCCACCUCUACCCAUCUCCAGCUGACACGUUUGCUCUGAGAAGGGAUUGGUGAAUAUCGCCCUCUCCCGGAUCUCCGGAAAUUCUCCCCAGCGCGCUGCAUCCGCUUCUUCCCAAGCUCGGAGCGCCGCACACGCAGCGGGGCGGGACCUUCAGCUCAGGGCGACGGUGUCCUCGGUCCCCUCCCCGAGGGCCGAGGCCUCCAGAGCCCCAGAUCCGGGACCCAGGCCCUGAGCCGGAUCUGAGGAGCGCACUGGGCCCGAGCCCCUGCUGGAGCCCGGAGCUCGGCCGGGGAGAGAGCUCAGCCACACGCGCCCCCGGCUAUGGCCCGGACCCCGCUCGGCUCUGCCGCUGAGUCCGCGCGCGGGGGAAAGCCCGCAGACCUUCCAGGACUUGCGGAUUGCCAGCCCCGAAUCCCUAAAGAGCUCGGCCCCGAGAGUCUCCUUGUGGUGUUUGGUGGCCGCCGCGAGCGGGCUUGGCGUCCCCCACGGCAGAGGGGAGGUCGAGGGGGAACUGGUUCCCGGUUCACCCUUCAUCUCCUACCAGUCACCAGCCGAGGCCCUGCCCCGUGCUCGCAUGGAGGCACCGAGAUAGCCCUGGCCCAGCAAAUGGCUCCUGGGUCGUCCUGGCGGGAGCGGGCCCAGGGCGAGGCGCGCAGGUGAGGUGCCAGGCUCGGGGCGCCCAGCCAGCGGCGCUUGGGGGCACCGGCUCGCUCCACCUGGCGUCCGCGCGGCCGGAGUGCCGCUGCGGCAGGCGGGCAGCGGCGGCGCAGCGACGGGCUGUGGCGCCACCUCCCGAGAAGACCUAGCAGGAAGCGCGGCUCCGCAGGUGGCCCGCGGCGCGCGCCUUCCGGGUGGCCGGAGUGCCCCUCGGCCAGCGAUUUGCCCUCUCAACGCCCCGAAACACCUCCAGAAAUGCCUGUGGCAGCAAUUACUACGCCGAUGGUCGCUGUCCUCCCCAAGUGAUGAAAGGGAGGUCCUAGCACCCCAGGAAGAUCUUGUGCCCCUGCCUGGGGAAGGCGAAAAGGCUGCAGCGGCCCUGGGACGCGAUGGCCUUGUGUCGGCUAUCAAGGGAUCUCGGACCCCCCUCACGUACGUGAAAACCGGUCCCCAAGAGUCCAGCAAGGAGAAGUAGGAGGAGGUGACUGGAGGGGAGAGGUGUUUGUGGCCCCCAAGGUAGGCUCCAGGUUGCAGUGGAGUCAAGCCGUCGGCAAGGGAUCCAGCUCUGCUCCUCAGACUCGAGCAGAGCAGCCUGUCUGCGGCCACCUCCACUCCCUCUCCGAGGACGCACCCGGCCACUCUCUGCACCACCGCGGGCGAUAGACAGAUUGUCCCCUCCGUUCCUGCCAACCAGUGUCCUCAAAUACAAUUAGCCUCUUUAGAAGUUACGGAGAGGGAGGCCACAAGACAAGUGGAUUCUCCAGCCAAGCUGAAACCCUCUCUGUGCCCUUCAAUGUGAAAUGUGGAAAACGCCCAAGAAGCAAGGCCCGGAUGCGAGGCAUCAGCUCUCCCUCGGAGCUCUCCUCCACAGGGAGCUGGAGGGUUGUGGUGGAUUUGGCUCCAGGCUUCAUCCCUUGAACCUUUCCUGCCACUCUUUUCAGAGGCCUCACUUCCUGGGCCUAAGUGGAAGCCACAAACCAUAAGCUCUUGCAAGCCCCUCACCACCCAGACCACAUCUCCCCGGACUUACUAUGUGUUGCUGCUUCCAGCUAUGUGACUUUACUCACACUAAUUCCCAGAAGACCAAGCAUUCGUACGGAUAACAUGAAAGGGUGUGGACGUGGACCAGGCACAUGGAACUCAGCCCUCUGGACACACGGGAAGCUUUUAAGAAGACACAGCACCCAAGCUCUAUCUUCAAGGGUGAGGAGUAUGCCAGACAUAAGACCUGAGAGGACAGCGGUCUACACAGAGGGAACAUCCUGGAGGGAAUGGCACACAGCAGAGGUGAGCCUCGGGCUCUGGCACCUUCGGAGACUUGUGACCUUGGGACAGUUACUUAACUACUCUGUACCUCAGAUUCCUCAUGCAUAAAAAUACUACUAAAAUAAACUACUUUAUAGGGCUGUGCAGAAUAACUAAGAUAACACAGCUAAAGUGCUUACAAACCGUUUGGUACAUCAUAAAGAUGUCAGAUACCACCAUCAUCAUCAUCAUCUCAGCUGAAGCACUGAGUUCCGAGGAGGAAGUGGUGGGACAUGUAGGGUUGGCAGAGCAUCAGUGCAUGCAGGCCCCUACAACAUUCUGAGGAGGAUGCACUCUCGCCUGACAGCCACAAUUUCCUUCGAGGUGUUUGGAGUUUUGGAGUCAACAUCUAGAGGCAAGAGGCUGAACUGAUAAUCCGCUCACAUUCCUUCCAGCCCCAAGACGAGACCUGAUUCCCACCUGAGAGCCAACAAACCCAGUCUCAGGCUCGAGCUCAGUCUUCCUAACACGACACCUGCCACGUUGCUUUGUGUCAAUAACCCAAGACAGCCAUCUCCCCUGCCCUCCGGAACUGUUAAAGCUUCACCCCUACCCAGUGGGAAUAAUUUAUUUAAUAAUAUCAUGCUAUUUCGUUAGAGAAUAAAUUCCUGGGAAAUGGGAGGAUAUAAAAAGACUCCCAGCCAAAAGGAAAAGACCUUGGGAAUUUUCACCACUGUGGGGCUUGGUUUUAGGGGAAGAGAAUGUGAAACAGGAUGGACCGAUUUUGUCCAGAGAAUACAGACUCUCUGCCCACUUCUCCUCUUUUCUCUUGCAGCUUAAAAUAAAGCAGCACAGAGACAGCUGUGGUCCAGCUGCCCGCCCUGUCGGUGGCAAUCGCCUCCCUGGUCAGGUUCAUCUCUGAACACCUGGUUGGGACAUGAGGGGGCCCACUGAUAAGCGUCUUCAAGGGAUGAUCUGUUCUUUCCCUCCUGAUCAAGGCAGGUCUCCAAGUUCUUAACCCUGUCACUUGGCAGUGCAUCCUCCUAGGACCCAGAAGUCACUGAGCAGAAGUGCAGCAACGUGGCAAAACCAACAGAGCUGAAGCGGCACAGAACAUUCCUGGACAGGUCUGCGAGGGUGGGGCAGCCAGGAAGUGACAGCAUGAAGCCAAGCACACUGG